rnacentral:rRNA from 1 species
CAGCAGCCGCGGGAAUACGAAGGAUCCGAGCGUUAUCCGGAUUUAUUGGGUUUAAAGGGUGCGUAGGUGGUUUUUUAAGUCAGGGGUGAAAGACGGCAGCUUAACUGUCGCAGUGCCUUUGAUACUGAAGAACUUGAAUGAACUAGAGGUAGGCGGAAUGUGACAAGUAGCGGUGAAAUGCAUAGAUAUGUCACAGAACACCGAUUGCGAAGGCAGCUUACUAUGGUUUGAUUGACACUGAGGCACGAAAGCGUGGGGAUCAAACAGGAUUAGAUACCCCUGUAGUCCCUGUCUCUUAUAC